UACGUAGGCAGCAAGCGUUGUUCGGAGUUACUGGGCGUAAAGGUGCGUAGGCGGUCCUAUAAGUAUGGUGUGAAAUCUCCCGGCUUAACUGGGAGGGUGCGCUAUAGACUGUGGGACUAGAGUGUGGGAGAGGAAAGUGGAAUUCCUGGUGUAGCGGUGAAAUGCGUAGAUAUCAGGAGGAACACCGGUGGUGUAAACGGCUUUCUGGACCAUAACUGACGCUGAGGCACGAAAGCGUGGGGAGCGAACAGG
rnacentral:rRNA from 1 species